rnacentral:rRNA from 1 species
UAUGAAGGGGGCUAGCGUUGCUCGGAUUGACUGGGCGUAAAGGGCGCGUAGGCGGUUCGUACAGUCAGACGUGAAAUUCCUGGGCUCAACCUGGGGGCUGCGUUUGAUACGUGCGGACUUGAGUGCGGAAGAGGGUCGUGGAAUUCCCAGUGUAGAGGUGAAAUUCGUAGAUAUUGGGAAGAACACCGGUGGCGAAGGCGGCGACCUGGUCCGAUACUGACGCUGAGGCGCGAAAGCGUGGGGAGCAAACAGG